rnacentral:lncRNA from 1 species
AAGUCAUAAGAAAGGAUUCAUUUGGAGCUGUUAAAGAAGGAACCUUUUAUUUUUGUGACGACAUACACAAACUAUUUGUAUACAUCACUGCAUUAGAUCAUAUUAUCCUUAUAAGUCACUCUGUGGCAUUAUUUAUAUAGAAAAUACUCAGAUAUAUGGCAUGAAGUCAAUUACCUAAGAAGCAAAGUGAAACAAACAAAACCUGGGUUUUUCUCCCCAUACCACUCUUCCGUGAAUCCCCAAAUGAGCCUCUAGGAUAAGAUUCAUUUCUUUGUU